rnacentral:rRNA from 1 species
AUGCGACACUUGGUUGUGAACUUCAAAAAAAAGUUUCAUGGCAAAGUUUUUGAUGAUCAUUUGUGGCCAGCUGCUUAUUCAUGGACUCCUCACGCUUUUGACUAUCACAUGGUAGCCAUAGAGCAGAAAAGGGCUGCUGCAAUUACAUACUUAAAGAAGUACCACAGCAGGCUAUGGUCAAGGAGCAAAUAUUCAUGUUCCUCAAAAGUGGAUUAUGUGACAAAUAAUUUGGCCGAGUGUUUCAACAACUGGAUCCACAAGCACAAAGGUUUAAUGUUGUUUCAGCUCAUGGACAAGAUCAGGAGGAAGAUUACCGUUAAGCAUGAGAAGAGGAGAAGGGUUGCUAGGAAAUUGCAAGGUCGACGUAUACUUCCAAGUGUCAUGAAUGAGCUGAAUGAAAAAAGUAGGGGGCUAGACAUUGAAUAUGAGAGAAUAGAUGACAUGAUUGCAGAGGUUGCCGAGUGUGCUGCGCUGGGUGGCAAGCGCCACAUUACUGAUCUAUCAAAUAGGACAUGCACAUGCCGGGCAUUUCAAGUCUCUGGGAAGCCUUGCAAACAUGCAAUCAGCUUUAUUACUGGAAUUAGGGGAGUCACCAUAGCAGAUUUUGUUGAUGACUAUUACAGCGUUGCCAAGUUCAUUGCAGCUUAUGCCCAUGUUCUUCCUGGCCUGACCGACAUGUCUCAAUGGCCAAGUGUGAACAAAGAUUUCAUUUUGAAUCCC